UGGCACACAGAAGCCCCUGGUCCAGGUAUCCAACCUGAGCCACAGAAGUGACAAUGCCAAAUCCCUAACCACUAGGCCACCAGGAAACUCCUACUGCCCUAAUUAAUCUUUAAGGAUUACUAAAAUAUUAUUUUUAUUUGCCCUUCUAACAUUUAUAUAAGAUCAGGGGUAGAUUCCAUUAUACACAAUUACUGCUGAGCCACGACAGGAACUCCUCAUUCAGUUUUUCCUUGAGAGCUUCAGCUCUGAAGGACCAUGCAAUAAUAUUAAAAGUUGUAUACACCCAAAACCUUGACUCUAACCAGUCUUAUUAGUGAAAGAAGUCUCUGGGUCUGCUCAUAAUUAUCUCAGCCUUUGCAUAGGCCCCCUAAUCUUCAGAGAUUUGAUAGUCCAAGGCAGUCAGUAAGGCCUGUGGCAAUGAUAGUAACUUUAAGACUUUUCCCAAGAGAAAAUACUGACCACUGGCCCUAUCAUUCCUAGAUAAGAGAAAAGAUCUCAACUAACAUUUAAAAUUAUUGCUCUGUGAGGCAUUUGGCCGAAACAUCAUGCUUCCUAUUUAUGGCUUUAAAACUUCUCUCUAUUGGAAUAAAUCUUUUCUCCAAAUUCUCCAAUAUUACUUUUUUUUUUCUCUUUAUAGGAGGGCAAAGAGCUGCUCUUCUCUGUACUCUGGGCGAGUUUCAACAACUAAAAAGGCCACUUAACAGAAAUGUUAUAAACAGGAGGAAUCUUAAGUGAGCGCCCAACAUAAGGCCGGUGCUAAAUACACAGUCCGGAUAAUUGAUUAAUUGCCUCUCCUCCUGGGUUAGUGACAUACACAGGAAAUGACCUGGAUGACUACAAGGACUGCCAGUUGUCUGCUGACCACACUGUGAUUAUCUAAAUCAGCUUUGUUCAGAUUACUGCAACACAAAAGUUGUGAUGACUCCUGUGCAGUGAGUCAAGGGGCCCUGUCUCAGUAGGAGAGGGAAAGGAGAUAAGGCAGACAUCCCAUGCUGAUCUUUUGUGUAGCAACAGGAGUGUGUUUGGGUAUCGCUAUGUUUUGAUGACUCAGUGGUGAGUCAGUUUUAAAGUUCUGUAAAAGGCCUUGUUGAGCUCAGACAGGACUGAGAGAUGAACUCACACAGCAGCCAGCUGGGGAGAGAGUGCCCAGCAGAGUGUGAUCAGCUGAUGGGUGGUGUAACUAUGUACAUGGAAAAAAACAUUCCAGUGAAGAUGAACUCGUUCCUAAAGGCAGAAAUCGACUCAAUCUGGCAUCUUCCGUUGAGUGCCUGUGCCUGCUAUGUUCAAGCACCAUCCACAUGCCACCUACUGCCCCUUCCCUUUCUACAGGCUGUGUGGUCUUCACCAGGAAGUGGUGCCUUCUCCAGAGCUCCAGCUAAAUCCAGAUGACUGUUUGCCCAGGAUGUAUUUGAGGAUGACACAUUGGAGCUGUAAGGCCAGCAAAUUAACUUCUAGCCUUGUGCUUCUAAGGAUGGGCCUGUGCCAAAGAAAUUAUGACGGAGGAGAGUUCCCAUCAUGGCUCAGUGGUUAACGAACCCAACUAGUAUCUAUGAAGAUGAGGGUUUGUACCAAAACAGACAUGCAGACCAAUGGAACAGAAUAGAGAAUCCAGAAAUAAAUCCAGACUUCUACAGUCAGUUAAUUUUUGACAAAGGAGGCAAGAAUAUAAAAUGGGAAAAAGACAGUCUUUUCAGCAAGUGGAGUUGGGAAAACUGGACAGCUGCAUGUAAAUCAAUGAAACUGGAACACACCCUCACACCACACACAAAAAUAAACUCAAAAUGGCUUAAAGACUUCAACGCAAGACAAGACACCAUCAAACUCCUAGAAGAGAACAUAGACAAAACAUUCUCUGACAUCAGCCCUACAAAUGUUUUCUUAAGUCAGUCUGUCAAGGCAACAGAAAUAAAAGCAAAAGAAAUGCUUGUUUGUAGGCAAACUUUAAAUAAUGAUUAGAUAUUCUGAGUUUAAUAUGUUAGUGGAUUUUGUAGGAGACAUCUAGAAGGUGAUAUUCAGGCAGAUAUGGAGCUCAGGAGAGGCUGUGUUAGGUCACACCUAUUUGUUAGAAAAAUCCACACCCCUCUCUAUGGGGAGGUAGAGAUCUUCAAGAAAAGCAUUGCUUAGCUCUUCUUUAAAAGUUUAUAUACACCCAUCUUUACUAAGUAAUUAGCCCCAGUAUUUAAAACCAUAGGAAGCAGAGGAAUUCCCGUGGUGAUACAGGGGAAAUGAAUCUGACUAGUAUCCAUGAGGAUGUGGGUUCAAUCCCUGGCCUCACUCAGUGGGUCGGGGAUCCAGUGUUGCCGUGAGUUGUGGUGUAGGUUGAAGAUAUGGUUGAGAUCCCAUGUUGUUGUGGCUGUGGCAUAGCCUGGGAACUUCCAUGUGUCGUUUGUGUGGCCCUGAAAAGCAAAAGCAAACGACAACAACCAAACCAAACCAAAUAACCCCCUCCCCCAAAGAACCCAGAAAGCACAAUUCUCAGGUUGUUACAUCAAGAAUGUUCCUUGAAAGUUGUAAUCUUCGUUUUGUUUGAAGGUCCUAUAGUGGAUUUUGAAAGGCUUUCUUUAGACUCCAUAGUACUUUAAUAUGUGUGCAUUAAUAAAACUGAAUGGUGUUUAAUGUAUUUAAAAAGUCAUGCUUAAAUGAUGACAUAUGCGAAUAGUCCAUUCAGCUAUAUAAUUUCAUAUUAAUUUUGUAGAAUGUAUGUAUUAUAGCUUCAUUUUGCAGAUGAGAAAACAGAGGCCCAGAGUGACUUUAUUGCUUAUACAGAGCAGAGCUCAAACUCGAAUCCUUGCCUUCAGAGCCUGAGUGUAAAGCUCUUUCUCCAGUGUUCUGCUUCAGGGAGCUGUGAGGCACCAGACUGAGACUCUGCCUUACCCUGGGAUUGAUCAGUUGACUGCUCGUUGGCAGUGAAAGUGUCUACCACUUGUCCUCAACUCAGCUGUGGGCCCCCAAAUCCAGUUCCAGUGCUUACUACCUGCUACCAGGGAGCCUCACAGUAAGACUCCAAGUGAGUGAUGGCUUCUGUAAAAUGUGCGCAUGGCUGCCCGGUGAACCCCAGGGGAACUCAGGAAAGAAACAAAGAAUACCUGCUACUUAGCAGCCAUCACACUGCAGCCACUCCUAACAGGGAGCCCUGAAGAAACUCAGGCUAUAAAACUACAGGAAGCUGAGGUGUAUAUCAAAGGCAUGAUUUCAGUGAGCCUAGACCUUUGCAUCUUCCCAUAAAUAAAAAAGCACAAAAUUC